GAUCCUCGCUCAGGAAGUCGUAACAAGGCAGCCAGGGAGUGGGGGAUAACGUCCGGAAACGGGCGCUAAUACCGCAUACGUCCUGAGGGAGAAAGUGGGGGAUCUUCGGACCUCACGCUAUCAGAUGAGCCUAGGUCGGAUUAGCUAGUUGGUGGGGUAAAGGCCUACCAAGGCGACGAUCCGUAACUGGUCUGAGAGGAUGAUCAGUCACACUGGAACUGAGACACGGUCCAGACUCCUACGGGAGGCAGCAGUGGGGAAUAUUGGACAAUGGGCGAAAGCCUGAUCCAGCCAUGCCGCGUGUGUGAAGAAGGUCUUCGGAUUGUAAAGCACUUUAAGUUGGGAGGAAGGGCAGUAAGUUAAUACCUUGCUGUUUUGACGUUACCAACAGAAUAAGCACCGGCUAACUUCGUGCCAGCAGCCGCGGUAAUACGAAGGGUGCAAGCGUUAAUCGGAAUUACUGGGCGUAAAGCGCGCGUAGGUGGUUCAGCAAGUUGGAUGUGAAAUCCCCGGGCUCAACCUGGGAACUGCAUCCAAAACUACUGAGCUAGAGUACGGUAGAGGGUGGUGGAAUUUCCUGUGUAGCGGUGAAAUGCGUAGAUAUAGGAAGGAACACCAGUGGCGAAGGCGACCACCUGGACUGAUACUGACACUGAGGUGCGAAAGCGUGGGGAGCAAACAGGAUUAGAUAC
rnacentral:rRNA from 1 species